UACAGAGGUCCCGAGCGUUGUUCGGAUUCACUGGGCGUAAAGGGUGCGUAGGCGGUUCUGAAAGUCUGAUGUGAAAUCUCCAGGCCCAACCUGGAAAUGGCAUUAGAAACUACAGGGCUAGAGGCUUGGAGGGGGAACUGGAAUGCUCGGUGUAGCAGUGAAAUGCUUAGAUAUCGUCCAGAACACCGAUAGCGAAGGCAGCUUACUAAGGAGUAACUGACGCUGAGGCACGAAAGUGUGGGGAUCAAACAGG
rnacentral:rRNA from 1 species